rnacentral:rRNA from 1 species
GACGAACGCUGGCGGCGUGCUUAACACAUGCAAGUCGAACGGAAAGGCCCUGCUUUUGUGGGGUGCUCGAGUGGCGAACGGGUGAGUAACACGUGAGUAACCUGCCCUUGACUUUGGGAUAACUUCAGGAAACUGGGGCUAAUACCGGAUAGGAGCUCCUGCUGCAUGGUGGGGGUUGGAAAGUUUCGGCGGUUGGGGAUAGACUCGCCGCUUAUCAGCUUGUUGGUGGGGUAGUGGCUUACCAAGGCUUUGACGGGUAGCCGGCCUGAGAGGGUGACCGGCCACAUUGGGACUGAGAUACGGCCCAGACUCCUACGGGAGGCAGCAGUGGGGAAUAUUGCACAAUGGGCGGAAGCCUGAUGCAGCAACGCCGCGUGCGGGAUGACGGCCUUCGGGUUGUAAACCGCUUUCGCCUGUGACGAAGCGUGAGUGACGGUAAUGGGUAAAGAAGCACCGGCUAACUACGUG